CCCUUAGAUGUUCUGGGCCGCACGCGCGCUACACUGACGAAGUCAGCGAGCAUGUCCUACGCCGACAGGUGCGGGGAAUCUUGUCAAACUUCGUCGUGAUGGGGAUUGAUUAUUGAAAUUCUUGAUCAUCAACGAGGAAUUCCUAGUAAGCGCAAGUCAGCAGCUUGCGUUGAUUACGUCCCUGCCCUUUGUACACACCGCCCGUCGCACCUACCGAUUGAAUGGUCCGGUGAAGCCUCGAGAUUGUGGCCAGCUCGCUUUAUUGGGAGUUGGUUGCGAGAACUUGUCUAAACCUUAUCAUUUAGAGGAAGGUGAAGUCGUAACA
rnacentral:rRNA from 1 species